rnacentral:lncRNA from 1 species
AAGUAGCUGUGGGAGCAGAUCUCAGAGGAUUAUUAUGCUUGAUGCUGCUGUUAGAGAUAUUUGCUGUCUUACAGGCAAAGGAGAGAUUGUGGAAAAAGAAUGGGAUAGAGGUCUCUAACCCAGGCUGGAGUUCAUUGGCACAAUCUCAGCUCAUUACAGCCUUGACCUCCUGGACUCAAGCCAUCCUCCCACCUCGGCCUCCCAAGUAGCUGAAACCACAGCUCACAAUUCUCUGAUGGGCUUGCCUACUCAUUUAGCCCUUCAUGAAGUCCCUGAGCUGCCUUUUUCAUCUGGAGUCUCCAUGCACAACGGUGAAAAGUGCAUCUUUUAUCUCACCUGGUAGGUAAGCUUUCCCCAAAUCCCAAGCAACUGUUAAAGGAAUUGAGGAAUGCUCUGUGAGAAGAAAAUCAUGAGAGCAGAAGGAUGUUCUGCUCUCAAGGGAGGCCAAUGAAAGAGAAAUCAAUCACGUGAAUUAAGAGCUUUUGAUGAAUAAAUAAUUAGCAUACACACUAAAUUAAUUAGCCAAUUUCCAAGUCAGGCUUAGUAUUGCAUGCUAGAGCUAGCAAGCAUUGCAUCAGUUGAAAUGUAACUGUUUGGCUUUGCUUCAUAAGAUUUUCAAAUGCAAAAUGACUGUGCCUGGUUAAAGGCUACCAUUUAAGAGAAUAAAUGGCCAAAACCAGGUGGUUAAGCCCUCACUUCCCAAUGCACAACCAAAGACUAAGGCAAGUAUUUCUUUAUAAACAGCUUCUGACCACUGUAUUUAAUAGUGUUGACAUUUACAUAAAUGGAAUGCAGUGUAGUUGCUGAACAUAUACUGGGAUGAUUCCAUAAUCCUGUUUUAAUUAGAUGGAUGUUGCGAGCAUACAAAAAUCACAAGCUGCACUCCCUGUGGUGAUGCCAUACUGGCAAGGAAUCAAUCACCACGGCUCUGGUUGCCAUAGAAACUGAUAGCUCCUGCACCACCAUCUAAAUGGCAAAUGAUUGGUGGUGUACUCAUAACACAGGGAGAGCAAUGAGUUUUUCUAUCCUGUCCAGCAGCUGUGCCAGAGAGUUAAUUAAAAGCAGAGAACAUGAAAUAAAUCUAAAUCUGUGAAGAAAUGAAAUGUACAGUACAAAUUGAAUUCCCGUGUCGGACAGAAAUUAAUAUGCAGCGCAAACCACAGAGCUGCCUGAACAAGCAGCAGCUGGGAAUCUUGGGAAAUGUUGCUUCUCAGGCGGUCAGAGCUGAAAUGUGGAGAGGGCACCUCCUUAUCUUAUUACCUAAACAAGCACUUUGUUCAGCAUUUGUGUUGACUGAUGCAUGCAAAUUGCAGCCUCAGAUGUUAAGAGUUCCUGUUUUCAAGCAGGAAGGACAAAGCUUAACUAAGAUUUAAUUAACAAACUGUUAGCAACUGCAGUUUAUCAGCUGUGAACACAAUGUAAGUAAAUGUUUCUACUCCUGUACUAGAAUACACCAGUCAACCUCCGUGAAAGUCAAUGUGUUUUUAUUGAUAAGCCACGAAUUCAGAAUUCAUAUUUCAAAUACCACAAGUCGAGGAACAAGUACCUGAAAUGCUUUCUCCAGAAAUAAAAGAA